GGGCUGUUAGCUCAGUUGGUAGAGCGCUCGCUUCGCAUCCCUUUAUGAUCGCAUUUGCGAGAGGUCGUGGGUUCGAUUCCCACAUAGUCCA
rfam:Byssochlamys spectabilis No. 5 DNA, contig: PVAR5_00011_1.